AAAAAUGUGCCAGCCAUUCAGAGUGCCAGAAAAAAAAGCCUUCCAGAAAAAAGUGCAGCUCACUGCCGGCGCACACUUAAUUUUACAUGAACACGCUCGUUGAGGCUGAAGCAAAUCUGACUGAUUUUCAAUGUGAAAAUAAAAUAUUGUUCUUGGAGUUACUUUUAAACAGAACUAACAUAAGAAUCAUCUGAAUCAUCAGAAUCAUCUAUUUCAGAAAAAUUGGAUUCAUCACAUGAAUCUUCAGCCAACAACUGUUCGAGAACAAUGUUGACAUCACAUGUAGGAAUGCUAUGUUCUCCAGGAUUUGACAUUUUUAGUGAUAGAGAACCACUAUGUUUUGUAAGAGGAAGCACCCACUACUAAAAACAGAAUGCUAUAAAUAGAAGGAUGUCUUUUGUUUCCAAAGUCAAUAUACUAGAGGGAUGAGAAAAUAGUAACAAAAGCAAGAUAUUUUGUGGCAAAGUUAUCUGGAAGCAAAUGAUGAAGCCUCAAGCACUGCCAGUGAGUAUUCGCAGGGCAAGUGGGAAA
rnacentral:lncRNA from 1 species